rnacentral:rRNA from 1 species
UACGAAGGGGGCUAGCGUUGUUCGGAAUUACUGGGCGUAAAGCGCGCGCAGGCGGUCUUCCAAGUCAGUGGUGAAAGCCCGGAGCUCAACUCCGGAACUGCCAUUGAAACUGUAAGACUUGAGGACGAGAGAGGUGAGUGGAAUUCCCAGUGUAGAGGUGAAAUUCGUAGAUAUUGGGAAGAACACCAGUGGCGAAGGCGGCUCACUGGCUCGUAUCUGACGCUCAGGCGCGACAGCGUGGGAGCAAACAGG